AGCGAACGCUGGCGGCAUGCCUAACACAUGCAAGUCGAACGAACCGUUCGGGGUUAGUGGCGGACGGGUGUGUAACACGAGGGAACGGUCCCUUAGGGACGGAAUAACUCAGGGAAACGGGUGCUAAUACCGAACGUGCCCUUCGGGGGAAAGAUUUAUCGCCUUUAGAGCGGCCCGCGUCUGAUUAGCUAGUUGGUUGAGGUAAUGGCUCACCAAGGCGACGUUCAGUAGCUGGUCUGAGAGGAUGAUCAGCCACAUUGGGACUGGGACACGGCCCAAACUCCUACGGGAGGCAGCAGUGGGGAAUGUUGCGCAAUGGGCGAAAGCCUGACGCAGCCAUGCCGCGUGAAUGAUGAAGGUCUUAGGAUUGUAAAAUUCUUUCAACGGGGACGAUAAUGACGGUACCCGGAGAAGAAGCCCCGGCUAACUACGUG
rnacentral:rRNA from 1 species